rnacentral:misc_RNA from 1 species
GUAAGGUAUAAUUAUCGUCGACGGACCCGCUCCGUCCUGGCUUCCGCUGCAGUCCGCGCAGAGUUAAUGAUUAAACGUGAAAGCAAUGUCAAAUUUAUCGCUUCGGUUACAGUUUCGUUUAAAUGAAGUUAAUUAACUCGAGAAUCUAGUUAAAUAAAGACUUACGAACCUGAGUUUCGUCUACGUAGACUGGAGCCUCUGGACUGGCCGAUGUGCGGCCAUAAAUGUUCGACAGAGUCUGGUUCACCGGGAAGUCUGGACCACCCUGCAAUAACCAUAUGAUCUAAAAACAUCUUUACAUGUCCUGUCAACGAGAAAACGAUACGUACUUCCGGUUGGAGCACAGCUCUAAAUUUAUCUUGGCGAAAGUUUCCUGGCCGACGGUGGUGCCUUCAUUUCGAUGCAUUCGAAGAGUUCCCCGGUCUCGAGAUUUCAAACAGAAGCGCGCGUACGUUUGCCGAAGACUCGAGACUCGGUCUCAUCUUCGGAUAAACGAACUCGACGCACAAGUGCCUUUUCAAU